UACAGAGGGUGCGCGCGUUAAUCGGACUUACUGGGCGUAAAGCGUGCGCAGACGGUCAUGUAAGUCGGGUGUGAAAGCCCCGGGCUCAACCUGGGAAUUGCAUUCGAGACUGCAUGGCUAGGGUGCGGAAGAGGGAAGCGGAAUUUCCGGUGUAGCGGUGAAAUGCGUAGAUAUCGGAAGGAACACCAGUGGCGAAAGCGGCUUCCUGGUCCAGCACCGACGUUCAGGCACGAAAGCGUGGGGAGCAAACAGG
rnacentral:rRNA from 1 species